AGUGCAGAUCGUGAUUUCACAGUGUGUGGCAGUAAAUAGGAUCUUACCUGAAAUCCAUGAUGGAAGACCUACAACCCUUGACAGCAGCAGCCACCCCAGCUAAAGAUGUAGAGCACCUGAAGUCCCGGGACAGCAUGAGACUACCACCUUCGAUGUCUGAGGUAGUUGUUUCAUCCAUAAGGUCUGGGUCUGAACACAUCAAACCAGCUUUAAACCUGGUUCUAUGUGGAAGGAGAGGAGCAGGGAAGACUUCAGCAGCCAAGGCCAAUUUUUUGGGUCCGGACAGAGCUUCAAUCAACUU